AACGAACGCUGGCGGCAUGCCUAACACAUGCAAGUCGAACGAGACCUUCGGGUCUAGUGGCGCACGGGUGCGUAACGCGUGGGAACCUGCCUUUAGGUUCGGAAUAACUCAGAGAAAUUUGAGCUAAUACCGGAUGAUGUCUUCGGACCAAAGAUUUAUCGCCUUUAGAUGGGCCCGCGUUGGAUUAGCUAGUUGGUGGGGUAAAGGCCUACCAAGGCGACGAUCCAUAGCUGGUCUGAGAGGAUGAUCAGCCACACUGGGACUGAGACACGGCCCAGACUCCUACGGGAGGCAGCAGUGGGGAAUAUUGGACAAUGGGCGAAAGCCUGAUCCAGCAAUGCCGCGUGAGUGAUGAAGGCCUGAGGGUUGUAAAGCUCUUUUACCCGAGAUGAUAAUGACAGUAGCGGGAGAAUAAGCUCCGGCUAACUCCGUG
rnacentral:rRNA from 1 species